rnacentral:piRNA from 1 species
GAUUGGAACAAAAUAGUAAAUUU